rnacentral:rRNA from 1 species
UGGGGAAUAUUGGACAAUGGGCGAAAGCCUGAUCCAGCCAUGCCGCGUGUGUGAAGAAGGUCUUCGGAUUGUAAAGCACUUUAAGUUGGGAGGAAGGGCAGUAAGCGAAUACCUUGCUGUUUUGACGUUACCGACAGAAUAAGCACCGGCUAACUCUGUGCCAGCAGCCGCGGUAAUACAGAGGGUGCAAGCGUUAAUCGGAAUUACUGGGCGUAAAGCGCGCGUAGGUGGUUCGUUAAGUUGAAUGUGAAAGCCCCGGGCUCAACCUGGGAACUGCAUCCAAAACUGGCGGGCUAGAGUAGGGCAGAGGGUGGUGGAAUUUCCUGUGUAGCGGAGAAAUGCGUAGAUAUAGGAAGGAACACCAGUGGCGAAGGCGACCACCUGGGCUCAUACUGACACUGAGGUGCGAAAGCGUGGGGAGCAAACAGG